GACGUAGGGGGCCAGCGUUGUUCGGAAUUACUGGGUGUAAAGGGUUCGUAGGCGGUGUGGCAAGUCGGGAGUGAAAUCUCUGGGCUCAACUCAGAGACUGCUUCCGAAACUGCUGUGCUGGAGUGUGGGAGAGGCGCGUGGAAUUGCAGGUGUAGCGGUGAAAUGCGUAGAUAUCUGCAGGAACGCCCGUGGCGAAAGCGGCGCGCUGGACCACUACUGACGCUGAGGAACGAAAGCUAGGGGAGCAAACAGG
rnacentral:rRNA from 1 species